rnacentral:rRNA from 1 species
UACGAAGGGUGCAAGCGUUACUCGGAAUUACUGGGCGUAAAGCGUGCGUAGGUGGUGAGUUAAGUCUGUCGUGAAAGCCCCCGGGCUCAACCUGGGAAUGGCGAUGGAUACUGGCUCGCUAGAGUGCGGUAGAGGGUGGUGGAAUUCCCGGUGUAGCAGUGAAAUGCGUAGAGAUCGGGAGGAACAUCAGUUGCGAAGGCGGCCACCUGGACCAGCACUGACACUGGAGGCACGAAAGCGUGGGGAGCAAACAGG